AUUGAACGCUGGCGGCAGGCCUAACACAUGCAAGUCGAACGGUAACAGGGAUCAGCUUGCUGAUUCGCUGACGAGUGGCGGACGGGUGAGUAAUGUCUGGGAAACUGCCUGAUGGAGGGGGAUAACUACUGGAAACGGUAGCUAAUACCGCAUAACGUCGCAAGACCAAAGAGGGGGACCUUCGGGCCUCUUGCCAUCGGAUGUGCCCAGAUGGGAUUAGCUAGUAGGUGGGGUAACGGCUCACCUAGGCGACGAUCCCUAGCUGGUCUGAGAGGAUGACCAGCCACACUGGAACUGAGACACGGUCCAGACUCCUACGGGAGGCAGCAGUGGGGAAUAUUGCACAAUGGGCGCAAGCCUGAUGCAGCCAUGCCGCGUGUAUGAAGAAGGCCUUCGGGUUGUAAAAUACUUUCAGCGGGGAGGAAGGGAGUAAAGUUAAUACCUUUGCUCAUUGACGUUACCCGCAGAAGAAGCACCGGCUAACUCCGUG
rnacentral:rRNA from 1 species